rnacentral:rRNA from 1 species
UACAGAGGUCCCGAGCGUUGUUCGGAUUCACUGGGCGUAAAGGGUGCGUAGGUGGUUGGGUAAGUCUGAUGUGAAAUCUCCGGGCUCAACCCGGAAAUGGCAUUGGAUACUAUUCGGCUAGAGGUUUGGAGGGGGGACUGGAAUUCUCGGUGUAGCAGUGAAAUGCGUAGAUAUCGAGAGGAACACCAGUGGCGAAGGCGGCUCACUGGACCGGAACUGACGCUGAGGCGCGAAGGCCAGGGGAGCAAACGGG